rfam:Oryza nivara chromosome 12, whole genome shotgun sequence.
AAAAAGGCAAACCCUGGGUUUCCGUGUCCAACUUUGACUGACCGUCUUAUAUGAAUUUUUUUAUAAUUCGUAUUUUCAUUGUUGUUAGAUGAUAAAACAUGAUUAAUAUUUUAUGCGUGACUUGUCUUUUUAAUUUUUUUUCAUAAUUUUUUCAAAUAAGACGGGGCACGGAAACCAGGGUUUGUCUUUUU